UACGUAGGGUGCAAGCGUUAAUCGGAAUUACUGGGCGUAAAGCGUGCGUAGGCGGCUAUGUAAGACAGAUGUGAAAUCCCUGGGCUUAACCUAGGAACUGCAUUUGUGACUGCAUUGCUAGAGUGUGGUAGAGGGAGAUGGAAUUCCGCAUGUAGCAGUGAAGUGCGUAGAUAUGCGGAGGAACACCAAUGGCGAAGGCAAUCUCCUGGACCUGCACUGACGCUCAUGCACGAAAGCGUGGGGAGCAAACAGG
rnacentral:rRNA from 1 species